rnacentral:lncRNA from 1 species
CUCUUUGCGCUUCCAUCUCUUUCUUACUAACUCCAGAAGCCUGCGAGUCUCCUUAUGCUUCUCUGCCCCACGUAUUCAGGGGUCUGCGAGAGCCUCUGAAGGGGGUGGAGAGUGGUCACCUCAGAAGGCAUUUAUGAAGGAAACAAAAGCUCCCCAGGGCAAGAUCUCAGUGAUGCAUUCUCCUCCUGGAAUGGCCACAAUGAAGAAAUGAAGAAAUUCUAAAAAAUGGAAUUUCAAGGGGAAGAAAGAUGUGAUUUGGAGAAGUAUUUCUGCUGUUCCCCAGCUGUUUGAAACAUGUUGUGGCUUUGACUUCUUCCAACCACCUCCUGUGAUGAAGAUUACCUUAAUUGCUUGUUUGUGGAACAUUCAGUCAGAGACAGAAUAUGCUGUAACAAUUACCAAUAGAUGACGGCUGACAUUUUACAUUCCUUGUUAUUCUAUUAGCAGGUUCUUAUGGC